rnacentral:rRNA from 1 species
AUACGUAGGGGGCAAGCGUUGUCCGGAUUUAUUGGGCGUAAAGGGCGUGUAGGCGGCUUAUCAAGUCAGGGGUGAAAGCCCGGGGCUCAACCCCGGGCCGGCCUCUGAAACUGGCAGGCUUGAGUGCUCUAGAGGGCAGUGGAAUUCCCGGUGUAGCAGUGAAAUGCGUAGAGAUCGGGAGGAACACCAGUGGCGAAGGCGGCUGCCUGGGGAGCAACUGACGCUGAGGCGCGAAAGCUGGGGGAGCAAACGGGAUUAGAUACCCCGGUAGUCCCAGCCGUAAACGAUGAGUGCUAGGUGUGAGGGGUAUCGACCCCCCUCGUGCCGGAGUUAACGCAAUAAGCACUCCGCCUGGGGAGUACGGCCGCAAGGUUGAA